UGCCAGCCGCCGCGGUAAUACAGAGGGUGCAAACGUUGUUCGGAAUUACUGGGCGUAAAGCGCGUGUAGGCGGCAUGUUAAGUCGACUGUGAAAGCCCAUAGCUCAACUAUGGAAGUGCAGUCGAUACUGGCAAGCUCGAGUCCCGGAGAGGAUGAUGGAAUUCCCAGUGUAGAGGUGAAAUUCGUAGAUAUUCGGUGGAACACCAGUGGCGAAGGCGACUAACUGGACUGAUACUGACGCUGAGGUGCGAAAGUGUGGGGAGCAAACAGGAUUAGAUA
rnacentral:rRNA from 1 species